UUCAAUCCUUAGGUACCCCCCCCACACACACACACACUCACACAAGAGCAGCUUGUGGAUGCACAGAUGCAGGGGCGGCCGGGCAGGGUGAGCUGGCCCACUGGGCACGAGCCGCCCCUCGGCACUCCGUGGCUUGCGGUUCCCCGAGGCAACGGACCCAGGGCCUCGGCCACCCCGGGCUUGGGGAGUCGGUUUAAAAUACUGUUAAUAACCAUGCUGGAAAAUAAGACAAUUUCCUCUUCCACCAAAGGUGAUCAACCCAAAAAAGACAAUGCCGUAUCACAAGAACUGGUGCUUGUUAGUGCCCCUACAGAAGCGGCUGAAAUUUUUCAUGAAAAUAAAAGGACAAAUACUGAAGAAGUAAAUACAGCCAUUUACUUUAACUACCCAUGUCGAAGGCAGAGCUGUGCUCUAGUAAACAUCCCAGCACCAUGUGUCAACAAAAUUAUUUCACACAUUGAAAAUGUGGAGUCAAAAAUACAGGAUCAUUUGAAACAGUUUGAAACAUGUUUGGAAAAAUGGAGAUCUUCUCCCUCAACUCUGAAAGAAGAUUGGAGUACUGCUACAACAGAGAAAAAAGUCAAACAAGAAGAAAAGAAAGGUGAAAACUAUCAAGAAUUAAAGCAAGAAAUGGAAACCUUGCUGUCAGAGACCAUCCAUCUUAUCAAAAGCCUGGAAACUGACCGAGCAGAAGCUGAACAAGCCUUAAAACAACAAAAAUCAAGAAAGAAAUUGAUUAUCAUGAGAAUUGACUCUUGGUCUAUCUGGAGACUUCAAGAACUACCACUAGCUGUGCAGAAAGAACACCAGGCCUAUUUGAGAGAUAUUAUAGAAUUAAGGUGGCACCUGGAAGACAGAAAGCGUCAGCUGGAACAUCUGGAGAAACAAAAGACACAGCUAGAGGAAGCGAACGCAAAGCUUCAGGCGGAUAUAGACUUCAUGCAGGAUCGCAUAGCUCUGCUGGACUCAAAGCGGAGGCAGGAAGUGGCAAUUCUGCAGGAACUUUACGAAAAAAAAUUUGAGGUAAUGGAGAUAUUCAGACAAAUUCAUGAAGAAUUUGAACAAGUUACAGAAGACUCUGAAAAUGCCACAUGGCAGGUUCAAGAAAAUAAAGAAGAAAUGGAUGAAGAGAUUCGUAAUCACGAAAUAAACCUAGAGACACAGAGGAAAGAGUUAGAUAAACUAAACAAUCUGAGUACUCACUACUCAUCAAAAAUAGGAGAUUUUAAAACGGAUAUAGAGGAGAGUGAAGAGAUAGUGACAGAAGUACUAAGGGAAGAAAGAUCAUCAACAGAUGAAGCAUCUACUUUAUCAAGAACAGUGGAUGAUUUGAGGAAGACUUUUGAUCAACUUUGCUGGAAGUACAGAAAAUACGAACAGCAGUAUACGGAGGUCCUUAAUGAUUUUUAUGCCGCUAAAAGAACAUGGGAUGCUGAACUUUCUAAUGUUACAAAAGACUUGUCAAACAUUUCAAUAGCAUAUGCUCAAGCAAUGGGAGAAAAUAAAAGGCUUGCAAAUGAAAUCAUCACCGUAACAGAUCAAAUCAAUGAAAGUAUAAAAAGAAAAGUGGGGUAUGAAUCUGAAGUUCAAUCUUUACUGAAACUGAAGUCAAAAAACAAUGAUUAUCUCAAACACCUAUACAAGGAGGCUUAUCAAAUUGGUGCUCUUUUCCACGUAACCAAAAAUAAAACAGACGAUAUGGAACUUAAAGUAUCAGAAGUGAGAAGAAAAUUUAAGGUUAGAGAAGAGUUUCUGAAAAGACUCAUUCGAGGGAAAGUGGCUGCUGGGAUAAUAAUUCAGAAAAGACUAUAUUCCGUUCAGGAAACCCAGUCACUGGAGAGGCAGAACCUUAUGAAGAGGAAAGCAAUAUAUGCCCUCACGCUGGCGGAAAUACUGGAGCCUCUCCAGCAACUAGAAGAGGAUGCUGUAAGAAUCCAAGCCAUGCACAAAGAACAGGCUCAGAAUCUCAGUGAUGUACUUCAGAAGGAAAACUAUGUUAAAAGAAAAGUGAUACAAACAAAGAAUAAACUGCAAAGAAAGGAAAAGAAAACUCUUAGUAAACUAACAAAAACUGAGAGUAAACGCUCAUUAAUUUUUGAAGAAUUACAGUCUACUAAAAGCAAAACAGUCACUUUUAAUGCAAAAAUAAAUGAAAUGAACAAACAGUUACAAGAAAAGGAACAGGAAAAGGCAGAGUAUGAUCAGAAACUUGAAAAUUUAAAAAAUAUAUUUUUAACUAUGAGAUUUAAAAAGGAACAAGCACAAGCUGUGUUUGAUCAUCUCACGGAAGAGAAAAGAGCCUGCGAAGAGAGGAUCUCUGAGGAAGAUCAGAUGUUUAGAACACUCCUCGCCAUGAGGCAAAAAACACUGGCCGACCUUAAAACUCUAUAGCUGAAGAAAAGUUCAAGUUCUUUGAAGUUUUUCACAGAAAUUUCUGUUGAUCAGUUUGAGCAACAGGAGCCCUAAAAUUUGUCAUCACUAUGGAUUCUCAUGGUGAAAAGAAAAGAAGUUGAGAAUUGACUUUUUCUCUUUCAGUAAAGUUUC
ensembl:lincRNA